rnacentral:rRNA from 1 species
GACGAACGCUGGCGGCGUGCCUAAUACAUGCAAGUCGAACGCGUGGCGGACGGGUGAGUAACACGUGGGAACCUACCCAUCAGAGGGGGAUAACACUUGGAAACAGGUGCUAAUACCGCAUACUGAUGGAUGAACCAGCGGUGCAUUAGAUAGUGGGGGGGGUAACUGCUCACCAAGGCGACGAUCACUAGCUGGUCUGAGAGGAAGACGAGCCAACUUAGAACUGAGACAGGGUCCAGACUCCUACGGGAGGCAGCAGUGGGGAAUAUUGCACAAUGGGCGCAAGCCUGAUGCAGCCAUGCCGCGUGUAUGAAGAAGGCCUGAGGGUUGUAAAGUACUUUCAGCGGGGAGGCGUUACCCGCAGAAGAAGCACCGGCUAACUCCGUGCCAGCAGCCGCGGUAAUAC